rnacentral:rRNA from 1 species
CAAUAGCGUAUAUUAAAGUUGUUGCGGUUAAAAAGCUCGUAGUUGGAUUUCUGCUGAGAACGACCGGUCCGCCCUUUGGGUGUGUAUCUGGCUCUUUCUUGGCAUCUUCUUGGUGAACGUUGCUGCACUUGACUGUGUGGAGCGCUACCCAGGACUUUUACUUUGAAAAAAUUAGAGUGCUCAAAGCAGGCCUUCGCUUGAAUACAUUAGCAUGGAAUAAUAGAAUAGGACUUUGGUUCUAUUUUGUUGGUUUCUAGGACCGAAGUAAUGAUUAAUAGGGAUAGUUGGGGGCAUUAGUAUUUAAUUGUCAGAGGUGAAAUUCUUGGAUUUAUGAAAGACUAACAUCUGCGAAAGCAUUUGCCAAGGAUGUUUUCAUUGA